rnacentral:miRNA from 1 species
AGAUUGACGAGUGCAAGAAGA